rnacentral:rRNA from 1 species
GAUGAACGCUGGCGGCGUGCCUAAUACAUGCAAGUCGAGCGAACAGAUGAGGAGCUUGCUCCUCUGACGUUAGCGGCGGACGGGUGAGUAACACGUGGAUAACCUACCUAUAAGACUGGGAUAACUUCGGGAAACCGGAGCUAAUACCGGAUAAUAUAUUGAACCGCAUGGUUCAAUAGUGAAAGACGGUUUUGCUGUCACUUAUAGAUGGAUCCGCGCCGCAUUAGCUAGUUGGUAAGGUAACGGCUUACCAAGGCAACGAUGCGUAGCCGACCUGAGAGGGUGACCGGCCACACUGGAACUGAGACAGGUUCCAGACUCCUACGGGAGGAAGCAGUGGGGAAUCUUCGACAAUGGGCGAAAGCCUGAUGCAGAACUCCCGCGUGGGUGAAGAAGGCCUUCGGAUUGAAAAACUCUUUUAUUGGGAAAGAAAAGAUGUAAAAUAAUAUCCCCCCGUUCUGACGGUACCAAAACAAAAAGCAACGGCUAACUUCGUG